rnacentral:rRNA from 1 species
UACAGAGGGGGCAAGCGUUGUUCGGAUUUACUGGGCGUAAAGGGCGCGUAGGCGGCCACCGCAAGUCGACUGUGAAAUCUCCGGGCUUAACCCGGAAAGGUCAGCCGAUACUGCGGGGCUAGAGUGCGGAAGGGGCAACUGGAAUUCUUGGUGUAGCGGUGAAAUGCGUAGAUAUCAAGAGGAACACCGGUGGCGAAGGCGGAUCUCUGGGCCGAUACUGACGCUGAGGAGCGAAAAGCGUGGGGGAGCGAACAGG